AGAGUUUGAUCAUGGCUCAGAUUGAACGCUGGCGGCAUGCCUUACACAUGCAAGUCGAACGGCGGCACGGGAGCUUGCUCCUGGUGGCGAGUGGCGAACGGGUGAGUAAUACAUCGGAACGUACCCUGAAGUGGGGGAUAACGUAGCGAAAGUUACGCUAAUACCGCAUAUUCUGUGAGCAGGAAAGAGGGGGAUCGCAAGACCUCUUGCUUUAGGAGCGGCCGAUGUCGGAUUAGCUAGUUGGUGAGGUAAAGGCUCACCAAGGCGACGAUCCGUAGCGGGUCUGAGAGGAUGAUCCGCCACACUGGGACUGAGACACGGCCCAGACUCCUACGGGAGGCAGCAGUGGGGAAUUUUGGACAAUGGGCGCAAGCCUGAUCCAGCCAUGCCGCGUGAGUGAAGAAGGCCUUCGGGUUGUAAAGCUCUUUCGGUGGGGAAGAAAUUGCUUCGGUUAAUACCUGGAGUAGAUGACGGUACCCGCAUAAGAAGCACCGGCUAACUACGUG
rnacentral:rRNA from 1 species